rnacentral:misc_RNA from 1 species
GCAAACUUGGUCAUUUAGAGGAAGUAAAAGUCGUAACAAGGUUUCCGUAGGUGAACCUGCGGAAGGAUCAUUAAUAUGGACCAACAGGGGUCUAAAAUCCCGUGUCACCAGCUAUCUAUCACGGCGUAAAACACCAUGAUAGCUCUGGCUGCUGUGUGCCCAUUAACCCAUUGUGAAACUUCUACCAUUGCUUCGGCAGCACUCUCAGCAAAAGCUGGAGGGGUAAGGCUGUCAGAAGCCCAUAUCAAACUAGUUUAUGAAAUGUCAUGCUGUCUGAUAACUACUAUUUGAGAAAUCAAAUUUAUCUUAAAACUUUCAGCAACGGAUCUCUUGGUUCUCGCAUCGAUGAAGAACGCAGC